CCUACGGGAGGCAGCAGUGGGGGAUAUUGCACAAUGGGGGGAACCCUGAUGCAGCGACGCCGCGUGGGUGAAGAAGGGCCUCGGCGCGUAAAGCCCUGUCAGCAGGGAAGAAAAGGACGGUACCUGAAGAAGAAGCCCCGGCUAACUACGUGCCAGCAGCCGCGGUAAUACGUAGGGGGCAAGCGUUAUCCGGAUUUACUGGGUGGAAAGGGGGCGCAGACGGCGAUGCAAGCCAGGAGUGAAAGCCCGGGGCCCAACCCCGGGACUGCUCUUGGAACUGCGUGGCUGGAGUGCAGGAGGGGCAGGCGGAAUUCCUGGUGUAGCGGUGAAAUGCGUAGAUAUCAGGAGGAACACCGGUGGCGAAGGCGGCCUGCUGGACUGCAACUGACGUUGAGGCCCGAAAGCGUGGGGAGCAAACAGGAUUAGAUACCCUAGUAGUC
rnacentral:rRNA from 1 species